rnacentral:rRNA from 1 species
AUUAAACGCUGGCGGCAUGCCUUACACAUGCAAGUCGAACGGCAGCACGGGGGCAACCCUGGUGGCGAGUGGCGAACGGGUGAGUAAAGCAUCGGAACGUGCCCUGGAGUGGGGGAUAACGUAGCGAAAGUUACGCUAAUACCGCAUAUUCUGUGAGCAGGAAAGCAGGGGAUCGCAAGACCUUGCGCUCUGGGAGCGGCCGAUGUCGGAUUAGCUAGUUGGUGGGGUAAAGGCCUACCAAGGCGACGAUCCGUAGCGGGUCUGAGAGGAUGAUCCGCCACACUGGGACUGAGACACGGCCCAGACUCCUACGGGAGGCAGCAGUGGGGAAUAUUGGACAAUGGGCGAAAGCCUGAUCCAGCCAUGCCGCGUGUGUGAAGAAGGCCU